rnacentral:lncRNA from 1 species
UGAGGCUGGGCCCAUAGGUGGAGAGAAGUGGAAAAGGUCCUGCCCUGUCACUCUGUCCUUACACUCUGAAGAUCAGUGGACCCCUUGACAGGAUGCUGGACGCCUGGAUCCCGGGCAUACUCACCUUGGUCUUUGGCCUGCUUUCCAGUCUCCAAGGAGUAAGCGCCAACGAGACUGCAAACACAUGUGACAUCUUGUAAGUAUGGGACUUUAUCAGUUAUUGUCAGUAAAGGCGUGGGGGCGGGGGAUGGGUGUGUGCUCAGAUUCUGCCCUGGAUAAGGGGACAGACACUUAAUUCAUAUCACUUUUUCUGGAACCAUAGCCCCUGUCAGCUUACCCAACCACCAUGGGGUCUGCAGG